rnacentral:tRNA from 1 species
GGGGACGGGCUGCGAAGGGCGACUUCGCGGGCCCGCCCGCAUGCGGGACUCAAAAUCCCGAGGCUGUAAUCCGUGAGGGUUCAAGUCCCUCCGCCCCCACCA